GAUGAACGCUGGCGGCGUGCUUAACACAUGCAAGUCGAACGGAAAGGCUCCUGCUUGCAGGGGUACUCGAGUGGCGAGCGGGUGAGUAACACGUGGGUGAUCUGCCCUGCACUUCGGGAUAAGCCUGGGAAACUGGGUCUAAUACCGGAUAGGACGAUGGUUUGGAUGCCAUUGUGGAAAGUUUUUUCGGUGUGGGAUGAGCUCGCGGCCUAUCAGCUUGUUGGUGGGGUAAUGGCCUACCAAGGCGUCGACGGGUAGCCGGCCUGAGAGGGUGUACGGCCACAUUGGGACUGAGAUACGGCCCAGACUCCUACGGGAGGCAGCAGUGGGGAAUAUUGCACAAUGGGCGCAAGCCUGAUGCAGCGACGCCGCGUGGGGGAUGACGGCCUUCGGGUUGUAAACUCCUUUCGCUAGGGACGAAGCGCAAGUGACGGUACCUGGAGAAGAAGCACCGGCUAACUACGUG
rnacentral:rRNA from 1 species